AUUGAACGCUGGCUGCAGGCCUAACACAUGCAAGUCGAACGAGUGGCGGAAGGGUGAGUAAUGUCUGGGAAACUGCCUGAUGGAGGGGGAUAACUACAGGAAACGGUAGCUAAUACCGCAUACCAUCAGGAGUGCCCAGAUGGGAGUGGCUAGUUGGUGGGGUAACGGCUCACCAAGGCGACGACCCCUACCUGGUCUGAGAGGAUGACCAGCAACACUGGACCUGGGGCCCGGUCCAGACUCCUACGGGAGGAAGGAGUGGGGAAUAUUGCACAAUUGGCGCCAGGCUGAUGCAGCCAUGCAGCUUGUGUGAAGAAGGCCUUCGGGUUGUAAAGUACUUUCAGCUGGGAGGCGUUACCCGCAGAAGAAGCACCGGCUAACUCCGUGCCAGCAGCCGCGGUAAUUC
rnacentral:rRNA from 1 species